GUUUAAGAUAGUUUAAAAAAAAACAAUGGUUUUGUAAACCAUAAUUUAAAUAAAAUUUAUCUAAACU
rnacentral:tRNA from 1 species